rnacentral:rRNA from 1 species
AUAUUAAUAAGCGGAGGAAAAGAAACUAACAAGGAUUCCCCUAGUAACGGCGAGUGAAGCGGGAAUAGCUCAAACUUAAAAUCGGGGCGCAAGCUUCGAAUUGUAGUCUAGAGACGCUACCUCAGCGCAGGCCCGGGUCUAAUUGCCUUGGAAAAGGCAGACAGAGAGGGUGAGAUCCCCGUUCUCGGCCUAGAACCCUGCGCGUACGAGCGGCGCUCAUCGAGUCGGCUUGUUUGGGAUUGCAGGCCUAAUCGGGUGGUAAGUUUCAUCCAAAGCUAAAUAUAUGCGGGAGACCGAUAGCGCACAAGUA